UACGUAGGUGGCGAGCGUUAUCCGGAAUUACUGGGCGUAAAGGGUGCGUAGGUGGUUUCUUAAGUCAGAGGUGAAAGGCUACGGCUCAACCGUAGUAAGCCUUUGAAACUGGGGAACUUGAGUGCAGGAGAGGAGAGUGGAAUUCCUAGUGUAGCGGUGAAAUGCGUAGAUAUUAGGAGGAACACCAGUUGCGAAGGCGGCUCUCUGGACUGUAACUGACACUGAGGCACGAAAGCGUGGGGAGCAAACAGG
rnacentral:rRNA from 1 species